rnacentral:rRNA from 1 species
GUUGUCAUGCCAAUGGCACUGCCCGGUAGCUAAAUGCGGAAGAGAUAAGUGCUGAAAGCAUCUAAGCACGAAACUUGCCCCGAGAUGAGUUCUCCCUGAGACUAUAAGUCUCCUGAAGGAACGUUAAAGACGAUGACGUUGAUAGGCCGGGUGUGUAAGCGCAGCGAUGCGUUGAGCUAACCGGUACUAAUGAACCGUGAGGCUUAACCUUACAACGCCGAAG